rnacentral:rRNA from 1 species
UACGGGGGGGGCAAGCGUUGUUCGGAAUUACUGGGCGUAAAGGGCUCGUAGGCGGCCAACUAAGUCAGACGUGAAAUCCCUCGGCUUAACCGGGGAACUGCGUCUGAUACUGGAUGGCUUGAGUUCGGGAGAGGGAAGCGGAAUUCCGGGUGUAGCGGUGAAAUGCGUAGAUAUCCGGAGGAACACCGGUGGCGAAGGCGGCUUCCUGGACCGACACUGACGCUGAGGCGCGAAAGCUAGGGGAGCAAACGGG